rnacentral:rRNA from 1 species
UUCCGGUUGAUCCCGCCGGAGGUUACUGCUAUCGGGGUUCGACUAAGCCAUGCGAGUCGAAUGUAGCAAUACAUGGCGCACUGCUCAGUAACACGUGGAUAACCUACCCUUGAGACGGGGAUAAACCCGGGAAACUGGGUAUAAUACCCGAUAGAUCUCGACUGCUGGAAUGCAUCGAGCUCUAAAGCUCCGGCGCUCAAGGAUGGGUCUGCGGCCUAUCAGGUAGUAGUGGGUGUAGCGUACCUACUAGCCUACGACGGGUACGGGUUGUGAGAGCAAGAGCCUGGAGAUGGAUUCUGAGACACGAAUCCAGGCCCUACGGGGUGCAGCAGGCGCGAAAACUUUACGAUGCUGGAAACAGCGAUAAGGGGACCUCGAGUGCCAGGUUACAAAUCUGGCUGUCGUGAUGCCU